rnacentral:rRNA from 1 species
UGAGGAAUUUUCUGCAAUGGGCGAAAGCCUGACAGAGCAAUACCGCGUGAGGGAUUAAGGCCUACGGGUUGUAAACCUCUUUUGUCAAGGAGGAAGUUCUGACGUGUACUUGACGAAUAAGCAUCGGCUAACUCCGUGCCAGCAGCCGCGGUAAGACGGAGGAUGCAAGUGUUAUCCGGAAUCACUGGGCGUAAAGGGUCUGUAGGUGGUUUUUUAAGUCUGCUGUUAAAGCUUGAAGCUCAACUUCAAAAAUGCAUCGGAAACUAGAAGACUUGAGUAUGGUAGGGGUAGAGGGAAUUUCCAGUGAAGUGGUGAAAUGCGUAGAUAUUGGAAAGACCACCAAAGGCGAAGGCACUCUACUGGGCCACAACUGACACUGAGAGACGAAAGCUAGGGGAGCGAAUGG